rnacentral:rRNA from 1 species
UGGAAUCGCUUCGGCGAGUUGUGAAUUGCAGGUUGGCGCCUCUGCGGCGGCGGCGGUCCAAGUCCCUUGGAACAGGGCGCCUUUGAGGGUGAGAGCCCCGUGGGACCGUUUGCCUAUGCUCUGAGGCCCUUCUGACGAGUCGAGUUGUUUGGGAAUGCAGCUCUAAGCGGGUGGUAAAUUCCAUCUAAGGCUAAAUACUGGCGAGAGACCGAUAGCGAACAAGUACUGUGAAGGAAAGAUGAAAAGCACUUUGAAAAGAGAGUGAAACAGCACGUGAAAUUGUUGAAAGGGAAGGGUAUUGCGCCCGACAUGGAGCGUGCGCACCGCUGCCCCUCGUGGGCGGCGCUCUGGGCGUGCUCUGGGCCAGCAUCGGUUUUUGCCGCGGGAGAAGGGCGGCGGGCAUGUAGCUCUUCGGAGUGUUAUAGCCUGCCGCCGGCGCCGCGAGCGGGGACCGAGGACUGCGACUUUUGUCUCGGAUGCU